CAGGCUUAACACAUGCAAGUCGAGGGGCAGCAUGGUCUUAGCUUGCUAAGGCCGAUGGCGACCGGCGCACGGGUGAGUAACACGUAUCCAACCUGCCGUCUACUCUUGGACAGCCUUCUGAAAGGAAGAUUAAUACAAGAUGGCAUCAUGAGUCCGCAUGUUUACAUGAUUAAAGGUAUUCCGGUAGACGAUGGGGAUGCGUUCCAUUAGAUAGUAGGCGGGGUAACGGCCCACCUAGUCUUCGAUGGAUAGGGGUUCUGAGAGGAAGGUCCCCCACAUUGGAACUGAGACACGGUCCAAACUCCUACGAGAGGCAGCAGUGAGGAAUAUUGGUCAAUGGGCGAGAGCCUGAACCAGCCAAGUAGCGUGAAGGAUAACUGCCCUAUGGGUUGUAAACUUCUUUUAUAAAGGAAUAAAGUCGGGUAUGGAUACCCGUUUGCAUGUACUUUAUGAAUAAGGAUCGGCUAACUCCGUGCCAGCAGCCGCGGUAAUACGGAAGAUCCGAGCGUUAUCCGGAUUUAUUGGGUUUAAAGGGAGCGUAGAUGGAUGUUUAAGUCAGUUGUGAAAGUUUGCGGGCUCAACCGUAAAAUUGCAGUUGAUACUGGAUAUCUUGAGUGCAGUUGAGGCAGGCGGAAUUCGUGGUGUAGCGGUGAAAUGCUUAGAUAUCACGAAGAACUCCGAUUGCGAAGGCAGCCUGCUAAGCUGCAACUGACAUUGAGGCUCGAAAGUGUGGGUAUCAAACAGGAUUAGAUACCCUGGUAGUCCACACGGUAAACGAUGGAUACUCGCUGUUUGCGAUAUACUGCAAGCGGCCAAGCGAAAGCGUUAAGUAUUCCACCUGGGGAGUACGCCGGCAACGGUGAAACUCAAAGGAAUUGACGGGGGCCCGCACAAGCGGAGGAACAUGUGGUUUAAUUCGAUGAUACGCGAGGAACCUUACCCGGGCUUAAAUUGCAGAUGAAUUACGGUGAAAGCCGUAAGCCGCAAGGCAUCUGUGAAGGUGCUGCAUGGUUGUCGUCAGCUCGUGCCGUGAGGUGUCGGCUUAAGUGCCAUAACGAGCGCAACCCUUGUUGUCAGUUACUAACAGGUUCCGCUGAGGACUCUGACAAGACUGCCAUCGUAAGAUGUGAGGAAGGUGGGGAUGACGUCAAAUCAGCACGGCCCUUACGUCCGGGGCUACACACGUGUUACAAUGGGGGGUACAGAGGGCCGCUACCACGCGAGUGGAUGCCAAUCCCCAAAACCUCUCUCAGUUCGGACUGGAGUCUGCAACCCGACUCCACGAAGCUGGAUUCGCUAGUAAUCGCGCAUCAGCCACGGCGCGGUGAAUACGUUCCCGGGCCUUGUACACACCGCCCGUCAAGCCAUGGGAGCCGGGGGUACCUGAAGUGCGUAACCGCGAGGAGCGCCCUAGGGUAAAACUGGUGACUGGGGCUAAGU
rnacentral:rRNA from 1 species